GACGAACGCUGGCGGCGUGCUUAACACAUGCAAGUCGAACGGAAAGGCCCUGCUUUUGUGGGGUGCUCGAGUGGCGAACGGGUGAGUAACACGUGAGUAACCUGCCCUUGACUUUGGGAUAACUUCAGGAAACUGGGGCUAAUACCGGAUAGGAGCUCCUGCUGCAUGGUGGGGGUUGGAAAGUUUCGGCGGUUGGGGAUGGACUCGCGGCUUAUCAGCUUGUUGGUGGGGUAGUGGCUUACCAAGGCUUUGACGGGUAGCCGGCCUGUGAGGGUGACCGGCCACAUUGGGACUGAGAUACGGCCCAGACUCCUACGGGAGGCAGCAGUGGGGAAUAUUGCACAAUGGGCGGAAGCCUGAUGCAGCAACGCCGCGUGCGGGAUGACGGCCUUCGGGUUGUAAACCGCUUUCGCCUGUGACGAAGCGUGAGUGACGGUAAUGGGUAAAGAAGCACCGGCUAACUACGUGCCAGCAGCCGCGGUGAUACGUAGGGUGCGAGCGUUGUCCGGAUUUAUUGGGCGUAAAGGGCUCGUAGGUGGUUGAUCGCGUCGGAAGUGUAAUCUUGGGGCUUAACCCUGAGCGUGCUUUCGAUACGGGUUGACUUGAGGAAGGUAGGGGAGAAUGGAAUUCCUGGUGGGGCGGUGGAAUGCGCAGAUAUCAGGAGGAACACCAGUGGCGAAGGCGGUUCUCUGGGCCUUUCCUGACGCUGAGGAGCGAAAGCGUGGGGAGCGAACAGGCUUAGAUACCCUGGUAGUCCACGCUGUAAACGGUGGGUACUAGGUGUGGGGUCCAUUCCACGGGUUCCGUGCCGUAGCUAACGCUUUAAGUACCCCGCCUGGGGAGUACGGCCGCAAGGCUAAAACUCAAAGGAAUUGACGGGGCCCCGCACAAGCGGCGGAGCAUGCGGAUUAAUUCGAUGCAACGCGUAGAACCUUACCUGGGUUUGACAUGGGUCGGGAGUGCUCAGAGAUGGGUGUGCCUCUUUUGGGGUCGGUUCACAGGUGGUGCAUGGCUGUCGUCAGCUCGUGUCGUGAGAUGUUGGGUUAAGUCCCGCAACGAGCGCAACCCUUGUUCACUGUUGCCAGCACGUUAUGGUGGGGACUCAGUGGAGACCGCCGGGGUCAACUCGGAGGAAGGUGGGGAUGACGUCAAGUCAUCAUGCCCCUUAUGUCCAGGGCUUCACGCAUGCUACAAUGGCUGGUACAGAGAGUGGCGAGCCUGUGAGGGUGAGCGAAUCUCGGAAAGCCGGUCUCAGUUCGGAUUGGGGUCUGCAACUCGACCUCAUGAAGUCGGAGUCGCUAGUAAUCGCAGAUCAGCAACGCUGCGGUGAAUACGUUCCCGGG
rnacentral:rRNA from 1 species